UCUUUUCCUUUUUCUUUCUUCAGUUCUUCGAUCCCCGUACGCGUCUGCGAAGCACAUUUUCUUCAGGGCACAUUUUCAGAGCCUCUUCAAUCCCUCCAUUUCUUCGAAUGCUAUCAGCCCGUUGAACACGCAGAUCAGCCCUCUUCAGAGCAUAUCUUCAGAACCUCUUCAGAGCGUAUUUUCAGAUCUGCGUGAGAAUGUUUCUUCCUCUGUUUAUAUUUCUUCGAUUUGCAUUCAGUCCGUCGAGCGCGUGUCUGCAGAGGUCCAGUUCAUUUCUUCGAGCAUGAGUUUCAGUUCGUCGAACAUCAUCUACCUGCUGCUUGCUUGAGGUUCAGCGUUAAAGUUUCCAACUGGAGUUCCGUCGUUCAGUCCGUGGUUCAGAUCUGGAAGUGCGUCGUCCAUCAUCUGCCUGCUGCUCGAGUCCGUGAUUCAAGCUCAAUCCAGAUUGUUGAAGGGAAGCCGCGACAGCGAUUGCAUGGUUCUAAGAAGUGCUGUCGCGUGUAUAUCUAUAACUUCUUUUAUUUUUGGUUGGACUGUAGUUGACUAUCUUUACCUUUUCUCCAUUAAGUUUCCUAUGCCCAAUGUUCUUCCCUUGUUAUUUUCGCUCUGUUCUAUUCUUAUGUUAAGCAGAUCCAAUAGAUCUGUUAGUAAUGAGAUUUAUGCAGCUGGAGAAGUUGUAGUUAUUUGGCCAUGUGGGCUUUGUUGAGAAUCAGACAUGAUGCUGAAGAAAAUCGAGAAAUUCUUUUCAGAAUGGCUGGCCUACCGAUGGUGGAGAACUACCUCACGGGAUAUAAUAGUUGUAUGUUUGCAUAUGGACAGGCAUUCUGAACAAACAUGCUUUAGUCAAUCUUGAGAUUAGCAGAUGCCGUCAUAAGCAAAAAAAAAAGCCAUGUAAAAUAGAGUAUUGUACUAUUCUUAAGCAGAAAGAUAUUGUCUUCUAUACAAGAUUCCAAUAUAGCGCUUAGCAUCAUUGUUCUUUCUUUCUUUCUUCAAAUGUCAUAUCACCUAAGCAACGUUAGUGUAGAAAGCACUGUAAGUACUGGUUACUUGUGCCCAUAUUCCCCUCUAUCAGGUGGUGCUGUUGAGCUGCAUCAUUCAGCAUUUUAAUGUUUGGGAAAGUAGGUGCUUCAGUUUGUCAUUGUUUCUUGAUUUAUGCAUGUCAUCCUUUCACAAUUGUUUCUUAAUUUAUGCAUGUUAUGCUUUCACAAAAGUCAUGCUAAUCUUCCUUGUAUCAUUCUAAUUUUAUUGUAUGUCCCCAAAGGACUGGUCAUUGUUUCAUGCUUCCAUGUCCACCCUGCUAAAUAGCAAUUUUUACCUGCAGUAGUUAAACAUUUUGGAGUUUGAUAAAUAGGGCUUAGUUUGCUCGUGUCAUGUCAAUGGGAAUGUGUGUGCAGUACUCAGAAGUAGGACAAAAUUUUUGGUUUUAUUGAAAUUCAAAAGGACAAAAUUUUUGCUAUAUUUCACAUUACCACUUUGUUUUCUUGGCACCGUUGUGGGCUUGUGGUAAAAUGUGUGUGUGUAUAAAACUUUAAAUAUGUACACAAUUAUAUAUGUAUACAAUUAUAUCUUUUUUCUUCUGUAUAAUGGUCCUUUUGUUUAUGUUUUUUUGAUGAAAAAAGUACUUUUUUAAAAAAAUCACUCAUAAGAAAUCUUAAAGUGUUUGUUUAAGAUUGGGUAAAAAACAAUAUACCUUCUAAAUUAUAGGUCGAGUAACACUAGAGAUUCUAAAUUUCUUGUCGUUUUGAAUUCGUCGAUUACAAUUUAAAGAGCAUUCUUAUUUUUGCAGGAAAAUUUCAAAGAGAAACAACCCCAUGCCUCAUGGUACUCGAUAGAAUAUGAUUGGGUACUCUUCAACUAAAUAAGAAUAGUGUUAGAUGAAAUUGUUUGUACCAUGUAAGUAUGGGAGUAUUGAAAAUGUUUUUAAAUUCUUAGGUUGCAAUUUACAUUAUGAUCAUGUAUACUGUAGGAUUGAAAUUAGUUGUCGAUCUCUUGCAUAUAUUCUGAAAUUUCUUACUGCUUGUAUACUUGCA